rnacentral:rRNA from 1 species
AGCACGGACUUCGGUCUGGUGGCGAGUGGCGAACGGGUGAGUAAUGUAUCGGAACGUGCCCAGUAGCGGGGGAUAACUACGCGAAAGCGUAGCUAAUACCGCAUACGCCCUUAGGGGGAAAGCAGGGGAUCGCAAGACCUUGCACUAUUGGAGCGGCCGAUAUCGGAUUAGCUAGUUGGUGAGGUAAUGGCUCACCAAGGCCGCGAUCCGUAGCUGGUUUGAGAGGACGACCAGCCACACUGGGACUGAGACACGGCCCAGACUCCUACGGGAGGCAGCAGUGGGGAAUUUUGGACAAUGGGGGAAACCCUGAUCCAGCCAUCCCGCGUGUGCGAUGAAGGCCUUCGGGUUGUAAAGCACUUUUGGCAGGAAAGAAACGGCGCGUGCUAAUACCAUGCGCAACUGACGGUACCUGCAGAAUAAGCACCGGCUAACUACGUGCCAGCAGCCGCGGUAAUACGUAGGGUGCAAGCGUUAAUCGGAAUUACUGGGCGUAAAGCGUGCGCAGGCGGUUCGGAAAGAAAGAUGUGAAAUCCCAGGGCUCAACCUUGGAACUGCAUUUUUAACUACCGGACUAGAGUAUGUCAGAGGGAGGUGGAAUUCCACGUGUAGCAGUGAAAUGCGUAGAUAUGUGGAGGAACACCGAUGGCGAAGGCAGCCUCCUGGGAUAAUACUGACGCUCAUGCACGAAA